rnacentral:lncRNA from 1 species
UUUUUUUUAAUACUUAAUAUCGAGUCCGAGUUUAACACGAAACUUAACAUGCCGAUUAUCGUCCUCUCAUCUCUACACUUUCUUAUGCAGGAUAGGAUACAAAGAACGCUAGCGAGGUGGGAAAAGGGAAAACUUUCUUAUGCAGGCAAAUUGCAGUUGCUGAACUGGAUUUUUGGAGGAAAAAAUAAUUAUUGGGUUCAGGCAUACCGGUUAUCAAAGAAAACGCCCAGGAAACUAAGAUCUGUCGACUAUGGUUUUUUAUGGGUGGGUACAAAGGGAGCGGGAUAGGAUACAAUCACAUUGAAAAAAGAGAAAGGAGGGCUCGGCGUUCAUGAUUUUAAUUAGAACAUUGGAUGAGGUGCAUGGCAAUAAAAAAAAAAAAAGGCAAUAUCAACUUGGAAAGAUAAAAAUACAGUUUGGGGAUCGUGGAUUCACAUAGCGACAUAGAAGUCGACGUGUGCAGAGAAGGACGUCAACCAACCAGUUGAUGGGGAGAACACCUCGUCAAACGAGCCGAUAUUGAUGGGGAGAACUCCUUACGUUAACGAAUAUCCGAAAUUCGAAAUUCGAAUUCGUUUAGUAAAUAUCCGAAAUUCGAAUGCGGUUUCGAAUUUGUUUAAUACUAAACGAAUUCAGAUAAACAAAUUCGAAUAUCAGGUAUCCGGUUCGUUUAAAAUCCUUUAAAUUAAAUAUUUAUAUUAUUAUAAAAUAUAAAUUUACAUAUAUAACCUUUAAAUGUUAUAAUUUAUAAAUAUAUAUAUAACUUGUUAAUAUUAUUUACUAUUGAAGGUAUAUACAUAAAAUUUUAAAAAUAUUUUUUAAGUUUUAAAACUUAAACAAAAAAACUUCAAAACUAACUUAUAAACCCAAAAAAACUAUCCUCGUUAUUCCCAUUUUCAUUUCCCAACUAUUCCAGUUAGGGUUCAUCUUCUUUUUUUAGGGUUUUCAUCUCUCACCCUCACAACGCUCACAGAAAGUCAGAAAUCACAGCCUCGCUCGUUGACACUUCCCAGCC